GAUGAACGCUGGCGGCGUGCCUAAUACAUGCAAGUCGAGCGAACAGACGAGGAGCUUGCUCCUCUGACGUUAGCGGCGGACGGGUGAGUAACACGUGGAUAACCUACCUAUAAGACUGGGAUAACUUCGGGAAACCGGAGCUAAUACCGGAUAAUAUAUUGAACCGCAUGGUUCAAUAGUGAAAGACGGUUUUGCUGUCACUUAUAGAUGGAUCCGCGCCGCAUUAGCUAGUUGGUAAGGUAACGGCUUACCAAGGCAACGAUGCGUAGCCGACCUGAGAGGGUGAUCGGCCACACUGGAACUGAGACACGGUCCAGACUCCUACGGGAGGCAGCAGUAGGGAAUCUUCCGCAAAGGGCGAAAGCUUGACGGAGCAACGCCGCGUGAGUGAUGAAGGUCUUCGGAUCGCAAAACUCUGUUAUUAGGGAAGAACAAAUGUGUAAGUAACUAUGCACGUCUUGACGGUACCUAAUCAGAAAGCCACGGCUAACUACGUG
rnacentral:rRNA from 1 species